rnacentral:rRNA from 1 species
GAUGAACGCUGGCGGCGUGCCUAAUACAUGCCAGUCGAGCGAACGGACGAGAAGCUUGCUUCUCUGAUGUUAGCGGCGGACGGGUGAGUAACACGUGGAUAACCUACCUAUAAGACUGGGAUAACUUCGGGAAACCGGAGCUAAUACCGGAUGAUAUUUUGAACCGCAUGGUUCAAAAGUGAAAGACGGUCUUGCUGUCACUUAUAGAUGGAUCCGCGCUGCAUUAGCUAGUUGGUAAGGUAACGGCUUACCAAGGCAACGAUGCAUAGCCGACCUGAGAGGGUGAUCGGCCACACUGGAACUGAGACACGGUCCAGACUCCUACGGGAGGCAGCAGUAGGGAAUCUUCCGCAAUGGGCGAAAGCCUGACGGAGCAACGCCGCGUGAGUGAUGAAGGUCUUCGGAUCGUAAAACUCUGUUAUUAGGGAAGAACAUAUGUGUAAGUAACUGUGCACAUCUUGACGGUACCUAAUCAGAGAGCCACGGCAAACUACGUG